UUGUUGAACUUUUUUUUUUUGUCACUUGCUUUACUUCAGGGCUAGUCCAAUUUCACUUGGACUAUUUCUCUCCUCUACUUUUUCUAACUUUUCAGAUGGAGACAAAAUUGUUGACUCUAAUUUUUUGAGUCUACUUCUGAAAAAAAAAUAAUAAGGGGGGGUACUGGGCCAAGGACUAUGGUUUUGUGUUAAACUUUCAGCAU
rnacentral:misc_RNA from 1 species